rnacentral:rRNA from 1 species
UACGUAGGGUGCAAGCGUUGUCCGGAAUUAUUGGGCGUAAAGAGCUCGUAGGUGGCCUGUCGCGUCGGCUGUGAAAACUCGGGGCUCAACUCCGAGCUUGCAGUCGAUACGGGCAGGCUCGAGUUCGGUAGGGGAGACUGGAAUUCCUGGUGUAGCGGUGAAAUGCGCAGAUAUCAGGAGGAACACCAGUGGCGAAGGCGGCUCACUGGCCCGGAACUGACGCUGAGACGCGAAAGCGUGGGGAGCAAACAGG